rnacentral:rRNA from 1 species
CCUACGGGCGGCAGCCGUGAGGAAUAUUGGUCAAUGGGCGAGAGCCUGAACCAGCCAAGUCGCGUGAGGGAGUACUGCCCUAUGGGUGGUAAACCUCUGUGAGCAGGGAAGAACGGUCACUGUGCUAAUCAGCAGUGAAUUGACGGUACCUGCAAAGAAAGCACCGGCUAACUCCGUGCCAGCAGCCGCGGUAAUACGGAGGUUGGGAGCGUUAAUCGGAAUUACGGGGCGUAAAGCGCUCGUAGGCGGUAUGUCAAGUCAAGGGUGAAAUCCCCGCGAUCAACGUGGGAACUGCCUUUGAAACUGGCAAACUUGAGUGAGUGAGAGGAUAGUGGAAUUCCAGGUGUAGGAGUGAAAUCCGUAGAUAUCUGGAGGAACAUCAGUGGCGAAGGCGACUAUCUGGCACAUAACUGACGCUGAGGAGCGAAAGCGUGGGUAGCAAACAGGAUUAGAUACCCGUGUAGUC